UACGGGGGGGGCAAGCGUUGUUCGGAAUUACUGGGCGUAAAGCGCACGCAGGUGGCUGAGUCAGUCGAUUGUGAAAGCCCUGGGCUUAACCUGGGAAUUGCAGUCGAUACUACUUAGCUAGAGUAUGGGAGAGGGCAGUGGAAUUCCCGGUGUAGCGGUGAAAUGCGUAGAUAUCGGGAGGAACAUCAGUGGCGAAGGCGGCUGCCUGGCCCAAUACUGACACUCAGGUGCGACAGCGUGGGGAGCAAACAGG
rnacentral:rRNA from 1 species